rnacentral:rRNA from 1 species
CCAUCGAUUUGGUUGGGUCACUCUAGUGAGACUGCCGGUGACAAACCGGAGGAAGGUGGGGGAUGACGUCAAGUCCUCAUGGCCCUUAUGGGUAGGGCGUUCACACGUCAUACAAUGGUCGGUACAGAGGGUUGCCAAGCCGCGAGGUGGAGCCAAUCCCUUAAAGCCGAUCGUAGUCCGGAUCGUAGUCUGCAACUCGACUGCGUGAAGUCGGAAUCGCUAGUAAUCGCAGAUCAGCAUGCUGCGGUGAAUACGUUCCCGGGUCUU